UUAGCUUCCGGAGAGGAGGAAAAUUCCUCGCACAGCAUCGCUCCCUUAAGAAGGCGUGUCACUUAAACGAACAGCGCUGAGAUCCAGAUGAAGCUGGGAGGGUGGAGGGCACUGCCCGGCGCGCAGGUGCUGUGCGAGCCAUUUUAGGGCUCAUCUUUGCAACCAAAUUUGGAUCAUACUAGAUAGACAGGCCGUCAGUUCGUUAACCCAGUGGGAAUAAAGGAGAACAAAUCGAAGUAAAAUAAGAGGGUUUGGCCAUCGCGGUACACGGUGUGCUGAUGGUGACGGUGUCGGAUGAUCACCUGUUCUGCCUCUGCCCUGACACAGCCUCUGGGUCAGUCCAAGCCAUCUGGGCAAGAAAAUACUCCAAGACGUUUUCUCGUCAUGAGAAGCUGAAAAUCAUCCAUAAAAGUGGUAAUUAUGGCUAUGGUAUACGUUGUGUCGAUGCACCAGGCUCACAGAUAAUCAUUUCAUUAUUGAAACUAUCGCGCAAGGUAGGUAUGAUCGUGACCAUUUUUUAAGGAACUAAAGCUCAGAGGAGACACUUGCCUAAAUUUGCAAGCAUUCAGUGCAUGAGCUAAAUGCCCAUUUAUUUCCAAGGGGCCUUGGGCCUUCCUGUUCUCCCCCAAUACCCGCGUGUGGCGUUCGGAACUAGGAGGUCUCGUGGCAGCUCUGGGAGAAGGUAUGAGUCCCGGCUGUUCGCCGUGCGCUAUGGAGCACGCCAUCCAAGUGGCCGUUACAGAACGGAGCAGGGACGGGGGUGGUGAUGACAGCUGCUGCCCUGCUAAUGCGCCAGGCGCUGGGCACCUGUGACGAGGCCAGCUGUGCUGAGUGCCAUCCAUGCCUCGCCUCCUCAAACCCCCACAACAGCUCUACGGGGUGGGCACUUCCCAUCUUCCCACUCUGUGUGCGUGGAAACAGGCGCAGACAGCUCAGACGGUCUGCUCUAUGGAGAUCACACCAGCCUGGUAUCUUCCUGCUGCUUUGUAGCUCCCUCUUUCCUCUCCAAGGAAGGAGAAGCUGUGCUAAUAUAGGGCUACAUUUUUAGACAGAAAAGACCUAGCCGUUGGCUCAGAAUUUCUUUUAGCUGAAUCUAAUAGCGUUCGGCGACAAGAUAUUACCACGGCGUAACCUGCUCUACUGACCAGUGGACAGACGAGCCCCAGUCAUCUAUGAGCCCUGGCGACACAGCGGGGUGGAGAUUAACCCCCAGGCGCUGGAUCCAGGUGGCCGCGGAAAGCAGUACCUGCUCUGUCAGGGUUGCCAUGAAAACAGUCCCUCCGGUGAGGUGCUAUCCAACAGAACUUACUGCAGUAACGGAAGCAGUCCAUUUGCUGCUGUCCAGUAGUCACUGGCCACACUGAGCCCUUGGAGGGUAGUUGGUAUGUCUGGGAAACGUAUCUUUUCCCUUUUAUUUUUUUAGUUUGAAUUUAAUUCAAAUUUCAGGGCACCUGGGUGGCUCAGUUGGCUAAGCGUCUGCCUUCAGCUCAGGUCACGAUCUCACGGCUUGUGGGUUCGAGCCUUGCGUCAGGCCCUGUGCUGACAGCUCAGAGCCUGGAGCCUGCUUUGGAUUCUGUGUCUCCCUCUGUUUCUGCCCCUCCCCCGCUCAUGCUGUCUCUCUCUCUCUCUCAAAAAUAAAUGAACAUUAAAAAUUUUUUUGAAUUAAUUCAAAUUUAAAUAGCCACAUAAUGGCUGGGGUGACCCUACCGGUCAGCAGAGACAUAAAGC